GACGAACGCUGGCGGCGUGCUUAACACAUGCAAGUCGAACGGAAAGGCCCUGCCUUUGUGGGGUGCUCGAGUGGCGAACGGGUGAGUAACACGUGAGUAACCUGCCCUUGACUUUGGGAUAACUUCAGGAAACUGGGGCUAAUACCGGAUAGGAGCUCCUGCUGCAUGGUGGGGGUUGGAAAGUUUCGGCGGUUGGGGAUGGACUCGCGGCUUAUCAGCUUGUUGGUGGGGUAGUGGCUUACCAAGGCUUUGACGGGUAGCCGGCCUGAGAGGGUGACCGGCCACAUUGGGACUGAGAUACGGCCCAGACUCCUACGGGAGGCAGCAGUGGGGAAUAUUGCACAAUGGGCGGAAGCCUGAUGCAGCAACGCCGCGUGCGGGAUGACGGCCUUCGGGUUGUAAACCGCUUUCACCUGUGACGAAGCGUGAGUGACGGUAAUGGGUAAAGAAGCACCGGCUAACUACGUG
rnacentral:rRNA from 1 species